UGCUGUUGUGUUGGUUCAAGAACUUAUGUCCAUGAGCAUGUGUAUGACAAGUUUGUUGAAAAAGCGAAGGCACGUGCAAUGAAACGUGUUGUUGGGGAUCCAUUCAAGGCAGGCAUUGAACAAGGCCCACAGCUAAGCAAAUCAACCUCACAACAAAGACAAGUGCACAAUGGAAUGGAUGAUGAAUUGGAGGGUGGAGCAAGCUUCAUGGUUUACUUUUUGUGUAUUUUGUUAUGUUUCUGAAUUUUACUUUUGAAGCAAAAGAUGUGCAAGACUAUAGAAUUUUAUUAUGUAUGCUUUCAAACUCAAGUUAUAACUAAGAACUUUUGAAGUGGACGGUGUCAUGGUUUGAAGUAGUUCGUCUUCAAAUGUAAAAAUACUCAUGGUUUAUCAUAUAUAUUGAAUAUUUUAAA